UACGUAGGGACCGAGCGUUGUCCGGAAUCAUUGGGCGUAAAGAGCGUGUAGGCGGCUAUCUAAGUCCUGCGUGAAAUCCUGCGGCUCAACCGCAGACGGUCGUGGGAAACUGGAUGGCUAGAGUGCGGGAGAGGAGAGUGGAAUUCCCGGUGUAGCGGUGAAAUGCGCAGAUAUCGGGAAGAACACCCGUGGCGAAGGCGGCUCUCUGGAACACGAC
rnacentral:rRNA from 1 species